GUCUAAUUGGUGUAGUGGUAACAUCUCUGCUUGUCGAGUAGUGGCCGAGAGUUCGAUUCUCUCAUUAGACG
rnacentral:tRNA from 1 species